UGAAGAGUUUCCAUCAGUGCCAGCUGUUGACCAGACGUUACAGCACAUCCAGCUCGUUAUGAUUUCACUGCUUCAAGGAACAUCAGACUCAACACUAUGCAUUGGGAUGGAUGACCCAGAAAAUACAGACUGCAGGACGGCUGAAGAGGGAAAGGAAAUGUGGG